rnacentral:lncRNA from 1 species
AUUUUGGGGCAAUUACUUAUAUAUGACUUUCUGAUUUAUCUCUCUUACAAGGCUAAUAUUGAAAAUACUCUUUUUACGUUCCAACCUAUUUCUAAUAUACCCCUAGAGUUAAAAUCUGUUAAUGAAUUCUGUUAUCUCUAUAAAAUUACUAUUUUGCCCUUUCAAAUAUACUCUUAUACUAUCAUCGACUUUUCUUAUUUGCCUUUUAGGCUUCGUUUGGGGGACUUUUCUUAUUUGCCCUUUAGGCUUCGUUUGGGAUUGCAGGGAGAUUACGUUACGUGCGGUGAGAAAGUACGUUGGAAAAAUACCCUGUUUGUUUCCGUACGCAAUAUUGCGUUCCGCAUAUUGCGAUGAGUCGGUUACGAUAUAUUUUCUGCGGUCCCACCGAAGAACUCAUAAGCAUAUCCUUAUAUGCUUUUUCUUCAACUCCACUUUAUCUAAUAGCGUUAGAUAUACCUCGAUACCAAACUAAGGCUUAGUUUGGGAUUGCGGGGAGAUUGUGUUACGUGCGGUGAGAAAGUACGUUCGAAAAAUACCUGUUUGUUUCCGUACGCAAUAUUGCGUUCCGCAUAUCGCGAUGAGUUGGUUACGAUAUAUUUUCUGCGGUUCCACCAGAGAACGCAUAAGUAUGCUUUUUUCUCAACUUCAUUUUAUCUAAUAGCGUUAGAUAUACCUCGAUACCAAAAGAAGCCUUAGUUAGGGGCACAAAAAGUGUUUGCUUUUCGGUCUUUUCAAAUAUACUCUUUUACUACCACAAACAUUUUUUAUUUGCCCUUAAGUUAAGGGCAAAAGUGGUAUUUUAUUUUUUUUUAAACAGUGAUAGAUAUUUAACUCACGUUUAACCUAAGUUAACUUAACGGAUUGUAACUGUAGGGGUAUUUUGAAAUAGCGGAGGAACAUUUGAGGGGUAUAGUAGAAAGAAAAAAAGAGUAGGAAUAAAUGAGAUAUUUUUAAUAUUUUGAGGGGUAUAUAGAUAAUUAUUCAUAGUAUUUUCCAUUACCAUAAUGAUGAAGUUUGAUUU